AUGAACGCUAGCGACAGGCUAACACAUGCAAGUCGAGGGGUAACAGGGUAGCAAUACCGCUGACGACCGGCGCACGGGUGAGUAACGCGUAUGCAACCUGCCUAUAACUGGGGAAUAGCUCCCUGAAAGGGGAAUUAACACCGCAUAACACUAUUGAUUCGCAUGGAUUGGUAGUUAAAUGUAGCGAUACAGGUUAUAGAUGGGCAUGCGUGACAUUAGCUAGUUGGUGAGGUAACGGCUCACCAAGGCUACGAUGUCUAGGGGUUCUGAGAGGAAGGUCCCCCCACACUGGUACUGAGACACGGACCAGACUCCUACGGGAGGCAGCAGUGAGGAAUAUUGGUCAAUGGGCGCAAGCCUGAACCAGCCAUGUCGCGUGCAGGAAGAACCUGCCCUAUGGGUUGUAAACUGCUUUUAUAGUAGAAGAAACACAUCUACGCGUAGAUGUCUGCCAGUAUACUAUGAAUAAGCAUCGGCUAACUCCGUGCCAGCCGCCGC
rnacentral:rRNA from 1 species